rnacentral:rRNA from 1 species
ACCCUUUAAUGUUUGAUGUUCUAACGUGGACCCGUGAUCCGGGUUGCGGACAGUGUCUGGUGGGUAGUUUGACUGGGGCGGUCUCCUCCUAAAGAGUAACGGAGGAGCACGAAGGUUGGCUAAUCCUGGUCGGACAUCAGGAGGUUAGUGCAAUGGCAUAAGCCAGCUUGACUGCGAGCGUGACGGCGCGAGCAGGUGCGAAAGCAGGUCAUAGUGAUCCGGUGGUUCUGAAUGGAAGGGCCAUCGCUCAACGGAUAAAAGGUACUCCGGGGAUAACAGGCUGAUACCGCCCAAGAGUUCAUAUCGACGGCGGUGUUUGGCACCUCGAUGUCGGCUCAUCACAUCCUGGGGCUGAAGUAGGUCCCAAGGGUAUGGCUGUUCGCCAUUUAAAGUGGUACGCGAGCUGGGUUUAGAACGUCGUGAGACAGUUCGGUCCCUAUCUGCCGUGGGCGCUGGAGAACUGAGGGGGGCUGCUCCUAGUACGAGAGGACCGGAGUGGACGCAUCACUGGUGUUCGGGUUGUCAUGCCAAUGGCACUGCCCGGUAGCUAAAUGCGGAAGAGAUAAGUGCUGAAAGCAUCUAAGCACGAAACUUGCCCCGAGAUGAGUUCUCCCUGAGACUUUAGGUCUCCUGAAGGAACGUUGAAGACGACGACGUUGAUAGGCCGGGUGUGUAAGCGCAGCGAUGCGUUGAGCUAACCGGUACUAAUGAACCGU